UGAGUAAGAAAGGCAAGGGAAAAAUACAGCAGACAAGUGAUUAUACGACACACAUUCUGAUGGAAACCUGGUCAAGUCCCCUAACUUCUCUGGAUUCCAUAAUUUAUCCAUUGGGUUGGGAUACCUGCAGUAUCCGUAUGAAAAACUGAGCCCUAAGAGUAACCAUGGAAGAAUGAAAAAGAUAAUUACCAACUAGAAUUCUGGCAGGGGGCUGUGCUAUCAGAGGAAGUUCAAAAUCUUCGAGGACCUGGGAGGUCGGGGUCAGGGGUAAACAAGGGUAAGUGCAAUACUGAAUUUCUUAUUCUAGAAUUCAAAAAUCCUUCAGACAUAUGCUCUCCUCACCCUUACUUCAUGCUCCAGCUAUACGAACACAACUUCUACUUCCCUAAACAAACUCCUUAGAGUGUUUCCCAUGUGUGUUUCUGGAGGGGAUGCAAUCCCCUCUGCCUGGAAUACGAAUCAGUUCUUCAUUCCCUAGGAAAUAGCCAUUCCUCCUUUAAAGGUCAGCUCAUAUGCUGACUCUUCUAUGAAGUUCUCUCAAAUCACCAAGUGUAAUGCUCUCUUGGCACUUUUUAUGCUUUUCAACCCCUACUGGGAAUUGGUGAUCUAAAUGAUUAAUUCACACUUGCUUACAAUGCUUAAUCCGCAACUCCAGUUUCCUGGUCCUUGACAUAAAUAUUGUAUAACUCAUCUUUCUGGAAAUGCUAUCUUUGGUAUUAUACUUCAGAACAGUUUCAUUUUUAAAAGGGCUGAGUCCCAAGGAUGUGAACAUUCCACUGCAAUUACACAAGGCAAUUGUCUCCACUGGCUUUAAAAAACAAUUAUUUUUUUUUCUGGUUAAAAGCGUAAUUCGUGUUCAACUAUAUGUAAAUACCAAAAAAAAUGGAAACAAAAAUCACGUAUAAAACUGCCAUCUAGAGGUAUAUGUUUGGUGUUAAGUAAAAACAUUUAUUUUUUAUUUUCUUAUUUUAGAGACAGAGAACGUGCACACAUGUGUGCUCCAGCAAGCAGGGGAAGGG